GAUAAACGCUGGCGGCGCACAUAAGACAUGCAAGUCGAACGGACUUAACUCAUUCUUUACGAUUGAGAGCGGUUAGUGGCAGACUGGUGAGUAACACGUAAGCAACCUGCCUAUUAGAGGGGAAUAACAGUGAGAAAUCAUUGCUAAUACCGCAUAUGCUCACAGCAACACAUGUUGCAGUGAGGAAAGGAGUAAUCCGCUAAUAGAUGGGCUUGCGUCUGAUUAGCUAGUUGGUGGGUAACGGCCUACCAAGGCGACGAUCAGUAGCCGGACUGAGAGGUUGAACGGCCACAUUGGGACUGAGAUACGGCCCAGACUCCUACGGAGGCAGCAGUCGGGAAUAUUGCGCAAUGGAGGAAACUCUGACGCAGUGACGCCGCGUAUAGGAAGAAGGUUUUCGGAUUGUAAACUAGCUUUAGACAGGGAAGAAAAAAGACAGUACCUGUAGAAUAAGCUCCGGCUAACUACGUGCCAGCAGCCGACGG
rnacentral:rRNA from 1 species